AACACUUACGGCGAGCUCGCGAAUUAUGCUUCAGUGAAAAUUAAUUCUGACGUGGCCGAUAAAAGCGAUUCAAUAUUUUUUGUUGUACCAAAGGAACCUGGGUUUGACUCGCAUCUCGUCAUUAAUGAUAUCAUAAAUGCGAAUAGACACGGUUUCAGUCAUGAAGUCGAUCAUCCGCAGAACGUACCUAAUUAUUUUACAGACGAUAACGUUAAACACAACACCGAAUCUGCAAAUGACGAUGCUGCAUAUAUACUUUAUCAUCUUCUUAGGAAUACCAACAACAACUACCAUUCCGAUUUCAAAGAGGCGAAAGACAGCCUUCGUUCUGCUCUCAGAGACCAAUGCCAGAAAGUAAAACGCUGCGUCCUACAAUGUCAAAAGAAUCAGAUAGAUUGCCCUGUUAUCUGCAAAGAAAGUUACGACGAAUUCAACAUUUGCGCAUCGUAGAAGCCAAAAAGAUGCAAAAAAACGAAAUGCGGAAGGACUUUGCCACCAAAUUGGUUGUAAACGUAUUUGAAUUUUCGAAUUAAACGAAUAAUCCGUU